rnacentral:rRNA from 1 species
GACGAACGCUGGAGGCGUGCUUAACACAUGCAAGUCGAACGAUGAAAUGGAGCUUGCUCCAUGGAUUAGUGGCGAACGGGUGAGUAACACGUGAAUAACCUGCCCUUAAUUUUGGAAUAACCCAGGGAAACCUGGGCUAAUACCGGAUAAGUAAACCUGUGGCAUCACAUGGUUUUGGAAAGUUUUUCGAUUAAGGAUGGAUUCGCGGCCUAUCAGCUUGUUGGUGAGGUAAUGGCUCACCAAGGCGACGACGGGUAGCCGGCCUGAGAGGGUGAACGGCCACACUGGGACUGAGACACGGCGCAGACUCCUACGGGAGGCAGCAGUGGGGAAUAUUGCGCAAUGGACGAAAGUCUGACGCAGCGACGCCUCGUGAGGGACGAAGGUCUUCGGAUUAUAAACCUCUUUCGGCAGGGACGAAGCGAAAGUGACGGUACCUGCAGAAGAAGCACCGGCUAACUAUGUGCCAGCAGCCGCCGCGG